rnacentral:lncRNA from 1 species
ACAGACCUGAUACUACUAUACAUGAUUAAUAAUUAAAAGACAACAUGAAAUAGAUUAAAAUAAAAGGUUUUUUCAAGCAUCUCGUGCAUGCAAUGGUCUUGAGUAGAAUGGUCUUGUUGUAUUUGUCAUGCUUAACCUCUACCAAAUUGAUACAUACCUGAAUGAAAAAAAAUAUCAAAUAGAGUUAGUGACUCAAGACACAUAUGAGGCCACGACACGUUCUACUGGACACAUGCAAGGCAUGAUUAAGGCUAUUUUUGCAAAAUGACAUACGUAGAUAAAAUGUGACUAUUAGCGCAACCUCAACAAAGAUGACCUCAAAGACAUGGACAUACCUCCCUAAGGCUUAUAUGGAUUCAAACUCCUAAUAAUCAUGGCCAAAGAGCCCAUUUCGCAAAAACAGUGGAUAUGACCAGAUAUGGCUAAAGAUACAAACUCAAAAGGGCGGACCUUAAAGUAAUAUGAUACCUAGCUGUGGACUCAAGAUUCUAAGAUAUGGGUAAUUGAACCAAUUGCGAAAAUGAUCCCAUUUUGCAAGAAUGGACGAUGUGGCCAAAAGUGGCUAGACAUUGAAGAUUUGGCUAAGACCCCGCAAAGCCAAGAACCUAAGACUCACCAGAAAGACCGGACCAUAUGUAGGUAGCCUACGUAUCUCAUCUCGAAAGACGAGAAUCAGAUUCGUGUAGUUAAAGAUAAUUGGACAUGGGAUAAAGCCUUUAAAAUGCAAUUAAUUUGGAAAACCAUAUUUUUUAUAUUUUUGGAAAAUGAUAAAAAAUGUAGAAUAUUUUUGGAUUUUCUUUUUCUCCUUUUUUUGAAUUUUUUUUUGUUGGAAAAUAAUGAAAAAGUGUAAAAAUGGAUUUUUUUUUUUAUUUUUGGAAAACUAUGAAAGAAAAAUGUGAGUGGACCCUACUUGUUUCAUUUUUCACGUUUCUUUCCCAAGCAUCGGUCUGCCAAAUGACCUUUUUACCCUCAAAGAUGCAACAUGUAUCACAUAGGGAUGAUUGAAUGUCUUUUUCGGCCACUAGCCCAUUUUGACAAAAUUUGGAUAGGCUUCCUACAAAUGGACACGGUACCUAGGAUCGAGCUCUGCUAGGUUUAAAUGACAUGAUGCAAAUAAAAAUGACCUAAAGGCUGACCUAAGUUUGGGUUCACUAGCAAGGCAAUUCGGGGCGGCACGUGGUCAAUGGCGUCUACUCUAGUUGUCUGCCCAUUCCACGCUCCCACGCCAACCCCUAAAGAUAUGGAUAAGACUUAAAAAGGUCGUGUACGCUCAAACGUACUCCGGAAGACUUGUUGUAGAAAGAAGACUUGGGGUUAUGCAAAUUAUGACAGUAAUAAAGCAAUAAACACAUAAAAAAUUAUAAGCAUAUAAGCAACAAGAAAAUAAUAAAACGACAUAAAUAAAAAUCAAAUAAAGCAACAAAAAACAUAAAAACCUCAACCGAAUAUCCUAAACCAACAAGAUCAAGUACCAGCUCAAAUAUGUAACUCCUCUGCGGAGUCGCCAGAUAUGUCACACCCCUUUUUUUAAUAAACCUUCACUAAACUUAAAUUAAUAAAAAGAUUUUGGUGAAGCUUGAAAAGGAUUUUUGAAUUAGAAAGUGACAAAAUUGUGUUUAAAAGGAAAAAACUCAGAGUCGCCACCUGAAAUUGAUUUUGGUGUGCCAGGUCAUCGUUUUUUUGAAAAAUAAUUUUUUCCUUUCAAACACUUUGGACUUCAAAACUAAAUCUGCACUAGAGAUUCGAGUAAGGAAGUUCAUUUGACUCGGAAGAAGGUGUUAGGCACUCCCCAAGUCUCAUUAAGGUCACGUUGCGUAUUCGAUCUAGUUGGCUUCUAAACUAUUUGGGUUGAGGGAAAACAAACAUAGAAAAACAAACAUCGCAAAACGGCGCGAGGUCGUCCCCAUCUAAUAUAAGAAAAAUAAGAAUAAACUACUACACUAUGCUUCCUUCACAAACGCGUCAUGACCUCCAAAAUAUUUACAAAGUACUUCGGGGCAUUCCCCGAGUUAAAAUAUAUACAAACUCGUUGGGGUAUUUGCCGGAUAAAUUUAACUAGGGAAACGACCUCUCACCUCAACUAAUAAAAUUUCUAAAGUUUGUCUACUAUCGGCCUAACCAUACUCCUAACAGACAAUCUAAGUAAAUAAAGUAAAGUAACAGACUCCUUUCCAAUCCAAUUUCUUUUAGUUGUCUUAUAACAUUCAAACCCCGGCCCCAAAUCAAUUCAUGGUUAAUACACUAAGCACUUUUAUUUGUUUAAGAAAUCAUAUAUAAGUAAACAUUUAUUAUUCUAAUGCAAGGUAAAACAUCAAAUGCACACAGUUAGCAAAAUUAAAAUCAAAGGGAAUUUCAUUAUGUAUCCAAACAGAUAAGGAAAACAUAGAGAACUAAUUAAAAAAAACAAAGUCAAGAAUAGACUCACAGAAAGCGAAUCUCCCAAACAAGUCACCGACCAGAAAAGUAGACUACGAUUGGACCUCGGAUCAGCAAACUCGACGAAAACUUAGUGCGAGACACUCCGACUCUUGGAAUGAGUUUUAACUUUAUGAAAAUAGUUUCCAUUUUUAGGCUUUCAUGUAACAGAACACAAAUAAUUAUAAGCUGAACAGAGAAGAAAAAGGGUCCACCGGCAUUAACACAUCACUGCCGGAUCUGAAAGUUUCCAUUAAAAACUCCAGCGAGCCGCAAUAGUACCAAGAAUCGACCAGGAAAGAGAGGGACUGAAGAGCGAGCAGCUGCUGAUUUUAUAGGUGAGGUGGUGUGGGAUCGUUUGGUCGUUUGGUGUGAAGGGAUGGUGGUGUUGUCUGUUGAUGGCUGCUCGAAGCUGCUGUGAAGAUUGAGCGGUCGUCUGGUUGCUGCUGUGAAGCCGGCGGUGGCUAUGGAGGUUGGGUGGCGGCGGGAGUUUUUAUGGUCUGUUAGGAUUUUUGUUGAGUCCUCUUACGUGUAUAUGGUGAAGAAGGUGAGAUAGGUUUGGUCUUGAAAGCAAGAAAAGGGAACAGACAUUUUUUUUUAGUUCAAAACUUCUGAUUUUUGGUAUCUUCUUUGUGCUAAAAAUGCUG